rnacentral:rRNA from 1 species
CCUACGGGAGGCAGCAGUCGGGAAUUUUGGGCAAUGGGCGAAAGCCUGACCCAGCAACGCCGCGUGAAGGAUGAAGUAUUUCGGUAUGUAAACUUCGAAAGAAUAGGAAGAAUUAAUGACGGUACUAUUUAUAAGGUCCGGCUAACUACGUGCCAGCAGCCGCGGUAAUACGUAGGGACCAAGCGUUGUUCGGAUUUACUGGGCGUAAAGGGCGCGUAGGCGGCAAUUCAAGUCAUCUGUGAAAUCUCCGGGCUUAACUCGGAACGGUCAGAUGA